GGUUUGAUUAUGGCUCGAAUUGAACGCUGGCGGGAUGCUUUACACAUGCAAGUCCGAACGGCAGCACGGACUUCGGUCUGGUGGCAGUAGCCGAACGGGUGAUGUGUGUAUCGGAACGUGCCUGAUGGCGGGGGAUAACACAAAAAGCGUAGCUAAUAUACAUGUCGGGGGAAAGCGGGGACCUUCGGGCCUCGCACUAUUAGAAGCGACCGAUAUCGGAUUAGCUGGUGAUUGGUGGGGUAACAACGGCUCACCAAGGCGACGAUCCGUAGCUGGUUUGAGAGGACGACCAGCCACACUGGGACUGAGACACGGCCCAGACUCUACAGGAGGCAGCAGUGGGGAAUUUUGGACAAUGGAAACCACAGUCCAGCCAUCCCGCGUGUGCGAUGAAGGCCUUCGGGUUGUAAAACACUUUUGGCAGGGAAAGAAACGGCACGGGAUAAUACCCCGUGCAACUGACAGUACCUGCAGAAUAAGCACCGGCUAACUACGUGCCAGCAGCUGCGACAGCAGCGGUCAGAAAAAUUAAUCGGAAUUACUGGGCGUAAAGCGUGCGCAGGCGGUUCGGAAAGAAGAUGUAAAAUCCCAGAGCUUAACUUUGGAACUGUACAUUUUUAACUACCGAGCUAGAGUGUGUCAGAGGGAGGUGGAAUUCCGCCCGAUGUGAAAUUGAAAUGCGUAGAUAUGCGGAGGAACACCGAUGGCGAAGGCAGCCUCCUGGGAUAACACUGACGCUCAUGCGAAAGCAUUGGGAGCAAACAGGAUUGAAUACCCUGAAAGGCAUUCACGCUAAACGAUGUCAACUAGCUGUUGGGGCCUUCGGGCAGCAGUACGAAGCAGCUAACGCGUGAAGUUGACCGCCGCAAGGGAGAGUACGGUCGCAAGAUUAAAACUCAAAGGAAUUGACGAGGAUUUUCAGUGGAUGAUGGAUCAUUCGGUGGCAUGGCGAAACCUCACUACCCUUGACAUGUCUGCGAUCGAAGAAGAGAUUUGGGAGUGCUCGCAAGAACCAAGACACAGGUGCUGCAUGGCUGUCGUCAGCUCGUGUCUGGAUGUUGGGUUAAGUCCCGCAGCGAGCGCAACCCUUGUCAUUAGUUUGCUACGAAGGCGCUCUAGCUGGGACUGCGGUGACAAACCGGAGGAAGGUGGGGAUGACGUCGAGUCUCAUGGCCCUUAUGGUGAGAACUACACGUCAUACAAUGGUCGGGACGAGAGGGUCUCAACCCGCGAGGGGGAGCCAAUCCAGAAACCCGAUCUCGGUCGGAUCGCAGUCUGCAACUCGACUGCGUGGUCAGAAUCGCUAGUAAUCGCGGAUCGUAUGUCGCGGUGAAUACGUUCAGGUCUUGUACACCGCCCCGUGCACCGUAGGAGUGGGUUUCUGCCAAGUAGUUAGCCUAACCAUAAAGGGCGAUUACUACGGUAAGUUGCAUGACUGGGGUGAAAGUCGUAACAAGGUAA
rnacentral:rRNA from 1 species